ACGGGGUGCAGCAGGCGCGAAACCUCCACAAUUCACGAAAGUGAGAUGGGGUUACCUCGAGUGCCGCCUGAAGAAGACGGCUUUUCCAUUGUGUAAUGAGCCGUGGGAAUAAGGGGGGGGCAAGACUGGUGUCAGCCGCCGCGGUAACACCAGCCCCCCGAGUGGUGGGGAUGAUUAUUUGGCCUAAAGCGUCCGUAGCCAGCUCUGUAAAUCUCCCGUUAAAUCCAGCGUCCUAAGCGUUGGGCUGCGAGAGAGACUGCAGAACUAGAGGGUGGGAGAGGUCAGCGGUAUUCCUGGGGUAGGGGCGAAAUCCAUUGAUCCCAGGAGGACCACCAGUGGCGAAGGCUGCUGACUAGAACACGCCUGACGGUGAGGGACGAAAGCUGGGGUAGCGAAUCGGAUUAGAUACCCGAGUAGUCCCAGCCGUAAACGAUGCAGGCUAGGUGUUGGGUUGGCCACGUGCCAGCUCAGUGCCACAGGGAAGCCAUUAAGCCUGCCGCCUGGGGAGUACGGCCGCAAGGCUGAAACUUAAAGGAAUUGGCGGGGGAGCACCACCAG
rnacentral:rRNA from 1 species